rnacentral:lncRNA from 1 species
AUGUAUAGGCAUCCGCAGAGGCGAUAAGCAGAGCUGUCUAUUAUAUGAUCGUAGAGGGCACUGCUCUUGUCUGCUUAUGUUUAUUACAGUAAGAUUCCUCUCAGCUGUGUCCUGGCUUCUUCAGGCCAUUGUCCUGGGGGAGGUCAGACUCUGCUGCCCUAUGUGUGUUCUGUGUGAUGAAGAAGGAUGGAUGGUGGCUUCCUCCCUUCCUGAGGAAAAUGUAUCCCCAGAACCUCCUGGACCAACCAGAGAUUGGCAGCCUAACCCUCGUUGUUGCCUGGAGGGGCAUAGGCACAGGCUAGCCCUCUGGAGCAACAAGGAACUUGCAAAAUCACCCUGGGUGGGUCUCCUAGCCUAUCCCCCAGGGAUGUAUGCUGUCUUGUUCAUUUCUUCCUUUUCUGUCAAUCCCAAUCGGGCAUUUUCUCUGGACCCCAUUUCUACACAAUCUGGUUAAGCGAUCUCUAUAGAGGAACUUGAAAAACAGUUCACAAGAGAACCUGAGUGUUUCCCUAAAGGAACCCAUGUGGGCUGAAUGGGGACAGUAGGGUCCCUGAGAGAUGAGGGCUUCUGGAUUCUUGUCUCUAGCAAGACACAGGCCCUCAUACCUAUUGUGCCUCACACUGUCAGUUUUAGCUCUGCCGAGGCCAUGGAUGCAGAUGUAAUUUGAACAUUCAAAAAAAAAAAAAAAAAA